AUUGAACGCUGGCGGCAGGCCUAGCACAUGCAAGUCGAACGGUAACAGGAAGCAGCUUGCUGCUUCGCUGACGAGUGGCGGACGGGUGAGUAAUGUCUGGGAAACUGCCUGAUGGAGGGGGAUAACUACUGGAAACGGUAGCUAAUACCGCAUAACGUCGCAAGACCAAAGAGGGGGACCUUAGGGCCUCUUGCCAUCGGAUGUACCCAGAUGGGAUUAGCUAGUAGGUGGGGUAACGGCUCACCUAGGCGACGAUCCCUAGCUGGUCUGAGAGGAUGACCAGCCACACUGGAACUGAGACACGGUCCAGACUCCUACGGGAGGCAGCAGUGGGGAAUAUUGCACAAUGGGCGCAAGCCUGAUGCAGCCAUGCCGCGUGUAUGAAGAAGGCCUUCGGGUUGUAAAGUACUUUCAGCGGGGAGGAAGGGAGUAAAGUUAAUACCUUUGCUCAUUGACGUUACCCGCAGAAGAAGCACCGGCUAACUCCGUG
rnacentral:rRNA from 1 species